rnacentral:rRNA from 1 species
CCUAACACAUGCAAGUCGAACGGUAACAGGAAACAGCUUGCUGUUUCGCUGACGAGUGGCGGACGGGUGAGUAAUGUCUGGGAAACUGCCUGAUGGAGGGGGAUAACUACUGGAAACGGUAGCUAAUACCGCAUAACGUCGCAAGACCAAAGAGGGGGACCCUCGGGCCUCUUGCCAUCGGAUGUGCCCAGAUGGGAUUAGCUUGUUGGUGGGGUAACGGCUCACCAAGGCGACGAUCCCUAGCUGGUCUGAGAGGAUGACCAGCCACACUGGAACUGAGACACGGUCCAGACUCCUACGGGAGGCAGCAGUGGGGAAUAUUGCACAAUGGGCGCAAGCCUGAUGCAGCCAUGCCGCGUGUAUGAAGAAGGCCUUCGGGUUGUAAAUACU